GUGAUAUAUGAAAGGAGAGAAGGUUAUCACUUCCCUUGAUAAGGAUGGAAGACAUCCUUGUGGUCUUUACAAUACAUGUAUAGUUAGGGCAUUGCCACUUACUUUGUGGCAUUUAGCCACCAUUUUAC